AAGAGCUCGUAGUCUGGUGGGUUUUCCGUACUAGUCAAAAAAACUCUCCGGAGGUUUCGUCAUUAAGGCAUA